UUUAUUGGAGAGUUUGAUCCUGGCUCAGGAUGAACGCUGGCGGCGUGCCUAAUACAUGCAAGUCGAGCGAAUGGAUUAAGAGCUUGCUCUUAUGAAGUUAGCGGCGGACGGGUGAGUAACACGUGGGUAACCUGCCCGUAAGACUGGGAUAACUCCGGGAAACCGGGGCUAAUACCGGAUAACAUUUUGAACCGCAUGGUUCGAAAUUGAAAGGCGG
rnacentral:rRNA from 1 species